CCUUGCCGAGGCUAUGGAUUCUUAGGAAGCGAUAGAAUUCUCCGCAUGGUCGUAAUCCCGUCAAAGGGGAUGCGUGUCGGACGCGGGUUCGAUUCCCGCCGGCUCCACCAGAAGCACAUCGAAACCCGAUGUCGCGUGUGUUUCUGAUGGGGCCGACCUGGUUUCGACGGCGCGAGGAACUGGAGAAGGCGACCCGAGAGGCGACGGACGUAAUCCGCGCAAAUCAAGCAAUCGCCAACGACGAGCGCUUCCUGGCCGCCGCCUAAUACGGCAGCCCGGGUCCGGCACCUGAGAACAGAACGCCGGUGUUGAUCGCCCUGCCUCA
rnacentral:tmRNA from 1 species